CUCAGAAUGAACGCUGGCGGCGUGCUUACACAUGCAAGUCGAACGAGAAAUUUUAGCUUGCUAGAGAAAGUAUAGUGGCGCACGGGUGAGUAACGCGUGGGUAAUCUGCCUCCGAAUCGGGGAUAACAUUGCGAAAGCGAUGCUAAUACCGGAUAAAAUCUGGUUGGCUUAGGUGAACCGGAUCAAAGGUGGUCUCUUUAUAAAAGCUACCGUUUGGAGAUGAGCUCGCGUACCAUUAGCUAGUUGGUGAGGUAAAGGCUCACCAAGGCGACGAUGGUUAGCUGGUCUGAGAGGAUGAUCAGCCACACCGGAACUGGAACACGGUCCGGACUCCUACGGGAGGCAGCAGUGAGGAAUUUUGCGCAAUGGGGGAAACCCUGACGCAGCAACGCCGCGUGAGUGAUGAAGGCUUUCGGGUCGUAAAGCUCUGUCAGGUGGGAAGAACCCACCAAGUGUUAAGACCACUUGGUGCUGACGGUACCACCGAAGGAAGCACCGGCUAACUCCGUGCCAGCAGCCGCGGUAAUACGGGGGGUGCGAGCGUUAUUCGGAAUCAUUGGGCGUAAAGGGCGCGCAGGCGGUUUUGUAAGUCAGAUGUGAAAUCCCGGGGCUUAACCCCGGAAGUGCAUAUGAAACUAUGAGACUUGAGUAUGGGAGAGGGAAGCGGAAUUCCUGGUGUAGCGGUGAAAUGCGUAGAUAUCAGGAGGAACACCGGUGGCGAAGGCGGCUUCCUGGACCAAUACUGACGCU
rnacentral:rRNA from 1 species